AUGAAACAGGAAGAGAUGGCACAACAUGAUCAGCAUGGGGCAAGUGAGAACAGCCGUUGGCACACCGCUCUGUCUUCCAGAGAGACUCAACUACCUACCCGAUUUGGUAUCUGCGCCCAGUGAACAUACCCACAAACUCUCAUAUGCUUACUCUGGUAUUAAUCGAAAUUAUGUUCAGCUGGUUAGCCGUUAUUAAUUUUUGUUUUCUCUACGAGCAGGGGGUGCAGGGGGUUCAAUCCUGUUCUAUUCAAGCUCUCUCUUUAUUUUAU